rnacentral:rRNA from 1 species
GUGGGGAAUCUUAGACAAUGGGCGCAAGCCUGAUCCAGCCAUGCCGCGUGUGUGAAGAAGGCCUUUUGGUUGUAAAGCACUUUAAGCGAGGAGGAGGCUACCGAGAUUAAUACUCUUGGAUAGUGGACGUUACUCGCAGAAUAAGCACCGGCUAACUCUGUGCCAGCAGCCGCGGUAAUACAGAGGGUGCAAGCGUUAAUCGGAUUUACUGGGCGUAAAGCGCGCGUAGGUGGCCAAUUAAGUCAAAUGUGAAAGCCCCGAGCUUAACUUGGGAAUUGCAUUCGAUACUGGUUGGCUAGAGUAUGGGAGAGGAUGGUAGAAUUCCAGGUGUAGCGGUGAAAUGCGUAGAGAUCUGGAGGAAUACCGAUGGCGAAGGCAGCCAUCUGGCCUAAUACUGACACUGAGGUGCGAAAGCAUGGGGAGCAAACAGGAUUAGAAACCCUGGUAGUCC